rnacentral:rRNA from 1 species
CGCGUAGGCGGGUUUUUAAGUUGGGGGUGAAAUGCCGAGGCUUAACCUCGGAACUGCCUCCAAAACUGGGAGCCUUGAGGUAUGGAGAGGGAAGUGGAAUUCCAGGUGUAGCGGUGAAAUGCGUAGAUAUCUGGAGGAACACCCGUGGCGAAGGCGGCUUCCUGGCCAUAUCCUGACGCUGAGGUGCGAAAGCUAGGGGAGCGAACGGGAUUAGAUACCCCGGUAGUCCUAGCCGUAAACGAUGGAUACUAGGUGUUAGAGGUAUCGACCCCUCUAGUGCCGCAGCUAACGCAUUAAGUAUCCCGCCUGGGGAGUACGACCGCAAGGUUGAA